rnacentral:rRNA from 1 species
AUUGAACGCUAGCGGCAUGCCUUACACAUGCAAGUCGAACGGCAGCACGGGAGCAAUCCUGGUGGCGAGUGGCGAACGGGUGAGUAAAGUAUCGGAACGUGCCCAGUCGUGGGGGAUAACGUAACGAAAGUUACGCUAAUACCGCAUACGAUCUAUGGAUGAAAGCGGGGGAUCGCAAGACCUCGCGCGAUUGGAGCGGCCGAUAUCAGAUUAGGUAGUUGGUGGGGUAAAGGCUCACCAAGCCGACGAUCUGUAGCUGGUCUGAGAGGACGACCAGCCACACUGGGACUGAGACACGGCCCAGACUCCUGCGGGAGGCAGCAGUGGGGAAUUUUGGACAAUGGGCGAAAGCCUGAUCCAGCCAUGCCGCGUGCAGGAUGAAGGCCUUCGGGUUGUAAACUGCUUUUGUACGGAACGAAAAGGUUUGGCCUAAUAAGCUGAGCUCAUGACGGUACCGUAAGAAUAAGCACCGGCUAACUACGUGCCAGCCGCCGCGGUAA